UUUAAAACAAUAGUUCUUCAUAUUACAAAGUAUUUAAUGUAAUUAUUUAAUCCUUUUUGUCUUAUGAGGCAAAUCGUACAAGUAUUAAUAUAUUCCGUUUGAAGAUGUGAACAUCAAGUCUCAAAGAAUAUUAGCAUCUUGUUCAAUGUUAUGGUCUUGGUAAAGAGUCAUUAAAGUCAGUGGCAAGAUGGAAAUCAAGAGACUAGUCAUGGUCUGGGAUGCAGUGGAAGACCUUGGCAUCUUCAACAUUUAACCAAACAGUGCACAUUCUGCCAGGAGAAGUUGUCACAUGCUUGAAGAGGACCAACAACCUUGUUUAGCCCAUAUGCUGAGAUGGCAUUCAUGGGGUGUGGUCACUGAACUUACCACAGCUUCUUGGAGCCACAGGGUCUGGGACUCCAGUGUGGCAUGCAAAUUGGUAGUCCUCUAGUGAUGAAAGUGGUCCUGUAUGUAAUCAGUUCCUGCACAGCCUGCCCCUGCUGGUUCACCUGGAGGGAUAAAGAGGAACAAGAGCACUUGACUCCAGAACCAGUCAGCUAAUCUGCACAAGAGACAGAGACUUUUGUAAUCCACCCAUAUUAUGCACUCUAACAGAAGAGAGAAUCUUUAAGUGUGAUAACUUCAGCACUGAACUGUCAAGUCUCUAAGGUUCAGCUCAGCAAUCAAACUGCAUAACCUAAUAGAGCCCCUGGUGCUACGGGAAACACAAGACACUGAUUUAUAUUUUAAUAUCAGUAAUUUCCACAAGAGCAACGUUUCUGAAUGUCAUUUCACAAUUUCUGUCAAAUGCCAGCUCAGUUUUUCUUAAUUCUGUUUAUUGUGCCCGAAUUUGCAACCUCAUACGCAAUGCAGAUAAUAUUGGCUCCCACGAGAGAAUAGUAUUUAAAUCUUUCUCCUGGAUGGGAUAGAAAAGGCAAAGUAAUGCCCAGGGAUGGGCAGGCACUUUGAAAUGGCUGGAAAUAAAAAAAAGGAUGUCGUUGUUCAGUCAUGUUCAAUUCUUUGUGACCCUAUGGACCAUAGAUCACCAAUACUGACUGUAGGCUUAUUUAUUUUUGGUAAAGAUGCUGGAGUGAUUUUCUAUUCCCUUCUUCAGAAGAUUAAGGCAAACAGGUUAAGUGACUUAACCAGGGUUACAUAGCUAGUAAGUGUUUCAGGCCAAAUUCAGGUUUUUCUGACUCUAUAGGCCCAGGGUUUUAUCUACUGAGCCUCCUAGCUGGCUUCAAAAAACAAACAAAAAGAGCAGCCAGGUGGCUCAGUAGAUAUAGAAGCAGGCUUGGAGAUGGAAGGUCUUGGGUUCAAAUGUGACCUCAGUCACUUCCUGGACAAGUUACACCCCCCUCCUCCUUGCUAGCCCUGUCUACUCUUAUGCCCUGGAACUCAUACGCAAAAUUGGUUCUAAGAUGGAAGGUAAGGGUCUAAAGAUAUUUUGUUAAUUAAUAUUAAUCAAAUAUUUUGACUAAAACAUCUUUAAGGGAAAAUGGCAGAAGAACCUUUGGGUGUCUAAACUUUUCAAGAAAUAAAAAAUAAAAAUAAAUUCAUGGUCCCAAAAUAUAACAUUUCACUUUAAAAAAGGAUACCAAAUGAUUGCUUACCAUCUCUGGGAGGGAGAAAGGGAAGGGGAAAAUUUAGGGAAAAUAUUAUUAAAGAAAAAGGGAUACCAAACAUUAAGAUGCUAAAAAGGGGUAAGCCAAUGUGGAAAGCAUUUGAUAAUGUUAACUAAAGGAUUUAUUGUGAGGGCUAUUAGUGGGACAACAGGUCAUAAAGCGAUUCAGAAUACUGGAGGAUCAAAGGUGUUCAGUCACAUAAGUAAGUGCCAGAUGUUUGCAUUUGUAAGGGGGAGCCUGCUUCUUUCCCUUAUUCUUCGAACAUCUAAUAAAAACAAGAACAAAGCCAGUACUGUUGCAGCAAAACCCAGCCUCCUACUCACUGUGUUUAAAAUUAGGGACCUCUUCAUGACACCAGUUAGCUGGGACUGCAUGCCUUGGCAUGCCUGGCACCUCAUCUUCAUCCCAUUGCAGGGCCACCAACUCUUUUUUUAUAGCUCGCUCUCCAGUUCCCGGAUUGUCCUUUCUUGGCCCACCAUCUUCAUGUGUAGCUAAUGAAGUAGCUCCUGAAGUUUCUGCUGUAGGUCACCUUUCCCUGGGAUCUGGAACAUUGGUUUAGUUGGGCAGGAUGGCUCUCCUGGAUACCACCAGAAGAAAUUAUUGACGAGCUAAAAACAAAAUGGCACCUGUAGCUAGAUAAAAGGGCUUGCCUGAAAAUACUUGCGGAAGCCCUCUAUCUCCAUGUUUUAUUUGUAUGCUUGGGGGGGGGGAUUUCCCUAGAGAGGGGCACUCCUUGGGGGUCACAGUUUUGGGGUGCUCCCCAGCCUCCUUCUUUCCUCUGAAGCCAUCCCCUACAGCAGGCCCUCUGGAGCCGAAGAAAUCUCUUGUUCUGCCUCUGGCUUGGCAUUGAGGCCGCGUGGCUUUCACCCACAGUAUUCAGCCUUAUUCACUCCAAAUCCAACGUCAUGUCUCAUUGCCAAACCCCUGGCAGAAGCUGGGUUGAGUUUCUCAGUGGAGCUAUCGACCACAUUGACUGAAGCUGCUGCUCCGUGUUUCUCUCCAUCCAAAAGGGUAAAAAUAACAGGAACAAGUUGUCGGAAAUGAAAUUUCAAUUCAUCCACGCCCUUUCUACACUUCUGCUGCGACUCCCAAGCAGGGAUCAAUAGUGUUUAGACAGCCAAGGAGAUUUUUUUCCCCUCUUAAAGCACCAGAUCAAUAGUAAAAAAAAAAUCCUCCAGCCCUCUGUAUGUGUUGUAGUAAAUGUGAACAAAUCAGAGGCCUUCGGCUAAACGGAUUGACUGAAGGCAGCCCAGUCCAGUGCUUUGUAAGUAUGAGCAAAUCAACUGAGCAAGUGGCGACUAGGGAGGAAAGCUGCCUGGGCAAAACCGCUGCACAGCCCACUCUGAUCAGACGCUGAUCGGGUCACAAGGAAGUUUCAGAGGGGAUUUUUCUCCAAAGAUUCCUAUUGCAUUGCAAUCUAUGAAUAUUGUGCAGUUUUCCUUAUACGUGUGUGUUCACACACAUGUAGGAAAGCAUAGACAUUGUGGAUUUCUAGUUAUAUACUUGGAAAAAUGAAUAAAUCACAUAGAACACAAUUCUCAUGAAAUUCUACAUAUUACCUAUAUUUAUUUUUUAUCUAUUCUUUAAAAAAUUUUCCUGCUACAUUUUCUCUUUUACUUCUUUUGUUUCCUUUCUUUCAUUCUGUCGAGUUUCUAACUAUACUUAAAAAAAAAAAAGAAACAAACACCCUUACCUACUGCCUAGGAAUAGUUAACUAAAUAUUGUUUCCAAGGCAGAAGAGUGGUAAGGGUAAGUAAUGGGGAUUAAGUGACUUGCCCAGGGUCACACAGGUAGGCAAUGUCUGAGGCCACAUUUGAAUCUAAUUUUCUAUUGAUUGAGCCACCUAUAUGUCCUUCCCAAUCAUGUUUUUAUUUUACAGGAAAAUACUAGAUAUUUGAGUUAUCCAUUGUCUCAUUGCAUGUUAACUUAGUGCUCAGCAGAAAGGCUGGUCAAUGUAGGCCCUCAAUGUUUACUGGUUGAUUGACUGAUUGAUGUACAAUCAAUUUUCAUGACUUCUUUCCCUUGAUCAUUGCAACUGACAGUCUAUGAGAUCUGGACUCUUUCCCACUUUUCUUAUAGUAUUCUGAGAUAAUUCCAUUCCUCAGACCAAGGUGACUAUGGCAUAGUUUAGCUCAAGUUAAUUUUUAUCCUCCUUUGUAGUAGUUUACUCUUGUACAAGCUUCUAUUUCUAUUCUCAAAAUCUUUAAAAUUUUACUUUACUAUGUUCCUUAAAUCUAAACCUCUGUCUCCAUUUCCUGCUGCAGUAUAUAGAUACUGAUCUAGCUCUAGAAUGUGGUUAUCCUAGGUCAAGAAUGAUAGAAACAAUGGCUACCUAGGUCUAGUGUCAUGAAGAGAAAAUGAAGACUCCAGGUCCUAGAGUCUAGGAUCAUAGGGCUGGGAAGUACCUCUAAGGGCAACUAAUCCAAGGUCUCUGCUCGUGAGAAUCCCUUAAAACAUCUCUGAAAAGGACUCACUGGUUCCAUUUUCAUCUUAUGAUGAAAUUUCACAGAAGAAUUUCAUUUUGCUUGGAAAAAAACAAUUAAAAAAACAGAGGGGAAUAUAGAAAAAAGUAUCAUUCAACUAGGGCAGGAUAUUAUUUUGUGAUGUUCAAAAAUGCUUUAGAUUUCAAAAUGUAAAUCAGUUUGGCAUGAAUUUGGAUAGAAAGCAGCCUCUAGAAUAGAAGAAUUAUAUCAUACUGUCCACUGCCACUGCUCCUAAUUUAGGUCAGGCCCUUUUCCCCCUAAAAGAUCUCUAACUACCCUUCCAAUCUAAUUUUAUACUAUUCUCUUACACAUAUUUUAUGCUUUAGAUAAAUAGGAUUACUCGCCAUUCCCCAAUCUUAUUUUGCCUUUGAUCACCUCUAGGCAUCUGAAUAGUCUGUUUUCUAUGCCAGAAAGACUUCCUUUAAUCUCCUAUUGAAGUCCCUCUCCUCUAAGGUCUAGUUUUGUUGCUACUUUCUUUAUCAAGCCAUUCCAGAAUGAAACAUCUAGAAGCAAUCUCCUUUUCUGAAUUUAUCACAUGUAUCUAGCACAUUCUAACUUGUAUCACACAUAUCUUGUUUCUCCUCUAGACUCUAUUAUCCUUAAUGGUAGGGAUUGUAUUUUUUUCAUUUUUGUAUUCAUGCUCCUAACUUAG